GAUGAACGCUGGCGGCGUGCCUAAUACAUGCAAGUCGAGCGAACGGACGAGAAGCUUGCUUCUCUGAUGUUAGCGGCGGACGGGUGAGUAACACGUGGAUAACCUACCUAUAAGACUGGGAUAACUUCGGGAAACCGGAGCUAAUACCGGAUAAUAUUUUGAACCGCAUGGUUCAAAAGUGAAAGACGGUCUUGCUGUCACUUAUAGAUGGAUCCGCGCUGCAUUAGCUAGUUGGUAAGGUAACGGCUUACCAAGGCAACGAUGCAUAGCCGACCUGAGAGGGUGAUCGGCCACCCUGGAACUGAGCCACGGUCCAGACUCCUACGGGAGGCAGCAGUAGGGAAUCUUCCGCAAUAGGCGAAAGCCUGACGGAGCAACGCCGCGUGAGUGAUGAAGGUCUUCGGAUCGUAAAACUCUGUUAUUAGGGAAGAACAUAUGUGUAAGUAACUGUGCACAUCUUGACGGUACCUAAUCAGAAAGCCACGGCUAACUACGUG
rnacentral:rRNA from 1 species